rnacentral:rRNA from 1 species
UACGAAGGGGGCUAGCGUUGCUCGGAAUUACUGGGCGUAAAGGGCGCGUAGGCGGGCUGCCAAGUCAGGGGUGAAAUCUUUCGGCUCAACCGGAAAAGAGCCUUUGAUACUGGCGGUCUCGAGUGGGGUAGGGGCACGCGGAACUUCCGGUGGAGCGGUGAAAUGCGUAGGUAUCUGGAAGAACACCAAAGGCGAAGGCAGUGUCCUGGGUGGUCGCUGACGCUGAGAGGCGAAAGCCAGGGGAGCGAACGGG